rnacentral:rRNA from 1 species
UUGGCACCUCGAUGUCGGCUCGUCGCAUCCUGGGGCUGGAGUCGGUCCCAAGGGUUGGGCUGUUCGCCCAUUAAAGCGGUACGCGAGCUGGGUUUAGAACGUCGUGAGACAGUUCGGUCCCUAUCCGCUGCGCGCGUAGGAGUCUUGAGAAGGGCUGUCCCUAGUACGAGAGGACCGGGACGGACGAACCUCUGGUGUGCCAGUUGUUCUGCCAAGGGCAUGGCUGGUUGGCUACGUUCGGGAGGGAUAACCGCUGAAAGCAUCUAAGCGGGAAGCCUGCUUCGAGAUGAGGACUCCCACCCACUUGAUGGGGUAAGGCUCCCAGUAGACGACUGGGUUGAUAGGCCGGAUCUGGAAGCCAGGUAACUGGUGGAGGUGACCGGUACUAAUAGGCCGAGGGCUUGUCCUCAGUUG